CGUCAGAGGCGAGGCCGUCCGUCAGAGGCUGACGCCGUCAGAGGCUGAAGCCCGUCAGAGGCUGAGGCCCGUCCGCCCGCCCGUCAGAGGCUGAAGGCCCGCCCGUCAGAGGCUGAAGGCCCCCCGUCAGAGGCUGAAGGCCCGCCCGUCAGAGGCUGAGGCGUCCGUCAGAGGCGAGGCCCGUCGUCAGAGGCUGAAGGCCCGUCCGUCAGAGAGGCUGAAGGCCCGUCCGUCAGAGGCUGAAGGCCCGUCCGUCAGAGGCUGAAGGCCCGUCCGUCAGAGGCUGAAGGCCCGUCCGUCAGAGGCUGAAGGCCCGUCCGCCCGUCCGUCAGAGGCUGAAGGCCCGUCCGUAAGGCUGAAGGCCCCGUCGUCAGAGGCUGAAGGCCGUCCGUCAGAGGCUGAAGGCCCGUCCGUCAGAGGCGGAAGGCCCGUCCGUCCAGAGGCUGAAGGCCGCCGUCAGAGGCUGAAGCCCCUCCGUCAGAGGCUGAAGGCCACUCCCAGUCCGUCCGUCAGAGGCUGAAGGCCACUCCCAGUCCGUCCGUCAGAGGCUGAAGGCCACUCCCAGUCCGUCCGUCAGAGGCUGAAGGCCACUCCCGUCCGUCCGUCAGAGCUGGAAGGCCACUCCCAGUCCGUCCGUCAGAGGUGAAGAGGCCACUCCCAGUCCGUCCGUCAGAGGCUGAAGGCCCCUCCGUCAGAGGCUGAAGGCCCCUCCGUCAGAGGCUGAAGGCCCCUCGUCAGAGGCUGAAGGCCUCCGU
rnacentral:lncRNA from 1 species